CGCCCUUUAGUCUAGUGGUAAGACGGUCCCUGGAUGUGGGGCAGACCGGAGUUCGAUUCUCCGAGGGGCGA
rnacentral:tRNA from 1 species